UACGAAGGGUGCAAGCGUUAAUCGGAAUUACUGGGCGUAAAGCGUGCGUAGGUGGUUUCUUAAGUCUGCUGUGAAAGCCCUGGGCUCAACCUGGGAAUGGCGGUGGAUACUGAGGAGCUAGAGUGCGGUAGAGGAGGGUGGAAUUCCCGGUGUAGCGGUGAAAUGCGUAGAGAUUGGGAGGAACAUCAGUGGCGAAGGCGGCCCUCUGGACCAGCACUGACGCUGAGGCACGAAAGCGUGGGGAGCAAACAGG
rnacentral:rRNA from 1 species